GCACACGUGAUCUAGCGGUUAUGAUGCAUGGUUCCCAACCAUGCCACCCGAGUUCAAAUCUCGGCGUGUGCA
rnacentral:tRNA from 1 species